rnacentral:rRNA from 1 species
CAGUCGCCGCGGUAAUACGAAGGGGGCUAGCGUUGUUCGGAUUUACUGGGCGUAAAGGGUGCGUAGGCGGAUUGUUAAGUCAGGGGUGAAAUCCCGAGGCUCAACCUCGGAACUGCCUUUGAUACUGGCGAUCUUGAGUCCGGGAGAGGUGAGUGGAACUGCGAGUGUAGAGGUGAAAUUCGUAGAUAUUCGCAAGAACACCGGUGGCGAAGGCGGCUCACUGGCCCGGAACUGACGCUGAGGCACGAAAGCGUGGGGAGCAAACAGGAUUAGAUACCCGCGUAGUCCCUGUCUCUUAUAC